CUUCUCCAUAUCCAAAUCCACAUUCUCUUCAUUUUCAUCCCGAUGGCGCACGGACAGCUUGUCAAAGGUUCCCAAGUGACAGAACGGGGGCCACAUGGAGGGAAGGUUGGUAACAAAUGGGACGAUGGUGAACACGAAAAUGGAGACGUAUGCGGAUGAUCAAGAGUGCAAACAUUCAAGUGGUGAUGAUACCUACAAACGAGUGACUAUUAAUCUAGACUCAGACGAGUUCAUAGAAGAGGUGAGUGGAUAUACUGGUAAAGUGACAAAUUAUGAUGAAAUAGUGCGCUCGCUCAAAAUUAAGACCAACAAGCUUACCUAUAUAUGGACCUCAUGGAGUUGACGAAGGAAAGCGUUUCAGUGUCGAAUUCCCAUCCGGUCACAAAUUUGUUGGAUUUGAAGGAAGCACCAGUUCUGAUUACCUGAUUUCCAUUGGG